rnacentral:rRNA from 1 species
UACAGAGGUCUCAAGCGUUGUUCGGAUUCAUUGGGCGUAAAGGGUGCGUAGGUGGCGGGGCAAGUCGGAUGUGAAAUCUCAGGGCUCAACCCUGAAACUGCAUUCGAUACUGCUUUGCUCGAGGACUGGAGAGGAGAUUGGAAUUCACGGUGUAGCAGUGAAAUGCGUAGAUAUCGUGAGGAAGACCAGUGGCGAAGGCGGAUCUCUGGACAGUUCCUGACACUGAGGCACGAAGGCCAGGGGAGCAAACAGG